AUACGGAGGACGCGAGCGUUAUCCGGAUUCAUUGGGUUUAAAGGGUGCGCAGGCGGCCGUGCAAGUCAGCGGUGAAAGCCCGGGGCUCAACCCCGGAAGUGCCGUUGAUACUGCGUGGCUGGAAUGCGGUCGAGGCGGGCGGAACGUGGCGGGUAGCGGGGAAAUGCGUGGAUAUGCCACAGAACGCCGAUAGCGGAGGCAGCUCGCCAGGCCUGCAUUGACGCUCGGGCACGAAAGCGUGGGGAUCGAACAGGAUUAGAUACCCUGGUAGUCCACGCCGUAAACGAUGGGCGCUCGUCGUCGGCGACAGACAGUCGGCGGCCAAGCGAAAGCGAUAAGCGCCCCACCUGGGGAGUACGACCGCAAGGUUGAAACUCAAAGGAAUUGGCGGGG
rnacentral:rRNA from 1 species